GAGUAAUCCGCUAUAAGAUGGGCCCGCGGCGCAUUAGCUAGUUGGUGAGGUAACGGCUCACCAAGGCGACGAUGCGUAGCCGACCUGAGAGGGUGAUCGGCCACAUUGGGACUGAGACACGGCCCAGACUCCUACGGGAGGCAGCAGUGGGGAAUAUUGCACAAUGGGGGAAACCCUGAUGCAGCAACGCCGCGUGAGUGAUGACGGCCUUCGGGUUGUAAAGCUCUGUCUUUGGGGACGAUAA
rnacentral:rRNA from 1 species